rnacentral:tRNA from 1 species
GGGAUGUUAGCUCAGUUGGUUCAGAGCGCAUGCUUCACACGCAUGAGGUCACAGGUUCAAAUCCUGCACAUCCCACCA